UUUUUCUUUUGGCGAAGUAUUUGUUAGGCCUUUUUAAGAAAAAAGUUUUUUACCUUAAGGAAUUUUAACAAAGAGGUACCACGUAAUAAAUUUUUUUUUUUUAGGGUGUAUCAAUCGAGUUUCUGACCUAUCAGCUUUUGAUGUUAGGGUAUUGGCCUAACACGGCUAUGACGGGUAACGGGGAAUUAGAGUUCGAUUCCGGAGAGGGAGCCUGAGAAAUAGCUCCCACAUCUAAGGAAGGCAGCAGGCGCGUAAAUUACCCAAUUCUAAAGAAGAGAGGUAGUGACAAGAAAUAACAAUGCAAGGCCAAUUUUUGGUUUUGUAAUUGGAAUGGUGGGAAUUUAAAACCUUCCCAGAGUAACAAUUGGAGGGCAAGUCUGGUGCCAGCAGCCGCGGUAAUUCCAGCUCCAAUAGCGUAUAUUAAAAUUGUUGCAGUUAAAACGCUCGUAGUUGAAUUUCAAAGAAUCGAUAUUUUAUUGUAACUAUUCUAGGGGAACUAUUUUAGCUUUUCCCUUUAUUCCCUUUCCCCUAUUUUUAUUUUUUUUAAUUACAAAAAUUUUUUUUUAAAUUCUCCCCGCUUCUGCCCUUUGCCUUUUUGGGGAUUUUGUUACUUUGAGUAAAUUAGAGUGUUCAAAGCAAACAGUUAAAGCAUUUACUGUGUUUGAAUACUAUAGCAUGGAAUAACAAAAUUGAACAAGCUAAAAUUUUUUGUUCUUUUUUCUUAUUUUGGCUUAGUUACGAUUAAUAGGAGUAGCUUGGGGACAUUCGGAUUCAGAUGUCAGAGGUGAAAUUCUUAGAUUUUCCUUAACUUGACAUUACCCCUCACUUCCCGUG
rnacentral:rRNA from 1 species